GCAGCCACAGUGAAAGGGAGAAGAGGUACAAGGAAAGAGAAGCAAAUCUCAGACAGAAGCAGAGGCAAAGCUGAAGGCAGGUUUCGGACAACGCUGCAAGGCCACUGGGAUUGAGAGGAAACCUUUGGUGAUUGCUUUCUCAUUAAGAGUGGGAGGGUGAGGGAAACUAAUGACUACUGCUUUAAGUAUUCGGAAAGCCGAACAGCUGGAGUACCAAAGAUCUGCAGUUUCCUUGGUGACAUCACGGCACACAGAAGGCCGGCCACGUACUGGGCCAAUAAAUGGAAAUUCCUGAAGAAAUCAAAGGCAGAACCUGCAUCCUGGAUACAAUGAUCCAACGAGGAAGUAGCAGGAUCAUUUCUGAUUGAGGCCAAGUUGGAUGUUUAAUGCAACCCUGAUUUCCAGUUCAAAGAUAACGCAAACUGCGACAAAUAACCGAUUGUUUUCUGUUUUGAGGUGGAGUAAACAACUAGCUUUGGGACGUAUUCCAACAGUUCUUUGGAUUGGAUAUCAUUUUUAUUAUACUUUGGAUUUUGUUGGAGUUUUACUAUGCAGACAACGGACCACCCAACAGCAGCAAUAAAUGUUCAGUUCAAGGCCCCACGCUACGUCGCAGUGGAGGUGGAGACAAAAGCGUGUGGGAGGACGCUCCCAAUGCACAUAGGAAAUCAAGUUUCCAUUGAUUGAUUCUUAAUGUGAAUUUAUUGCGCAUAAUGUGGACUUGAGGGAAAAUCUGACAAAUUGUGGAGGAAAACGCUCAGAGAAAAAGGCCAACAAUCGACAGGUUCACUCCUCUGUGAACAAGCAGUUGAGUUAAACAAUGACAAAAAGGGCCUACGAUAAUAUGAAUAAUCUGUAAAACACAAUGGAACUGCGUUUGGCAGAAAGGACACUUGGUUCUUUCCCAAUGUCAUACUGUGUAUGUUUAACAGUGUACUAUUUAGUCAUACUUUACUUGAGCUAAAGCUGUACGACAAAAGUAGCUCAGGUACAGUAGUAUUAAUGGUAACCAGCAAGAGUUAGACAUCACAGAAUAGCUUGCUUGCAAUAGUUGCUGAACUCCUAAUAUCAUUCUAAUAUCAUAGACUAGUAAACCUCAUUGAGUCAAGAAAAGCCAAUAGUAACCUGCUGAUGUCUGAUUCACAUUCAUAAAACCUUGAUCACAUGUACAUUGCCAUUUAUUAAAAAAUAUGAUCAACAAGGAGCAAAAAUAUAAGAAAAAAGCAGUGUCAUUCAGCAAUGCAAUGAUUUACUUUACCUUGCUUUACUUUUAUAGACAAAUAGAAAGCUACGGAGCUUUCUCAACUAUAAACAAAUGUUUGUCAGUACAAAAAAUGCUUUUUACAUUUUAUAUGCACUUAAUCAGUCUGUACCUUAGAGGAACAAAGCUGCAAAAUUAACACAGCUACUCAAAGUGUAACGUAAAGGCUAAAUAUGGCUGUCAGUCUUCUCAGAGAUGCUGGGAUUUGUUUUCUGUUAGUGUACUGAUACCUUGAGUAGAGUGUGAUACGAGGCCUUGUUUAACCUGUUUAAAUAUCAGAACCGUAUUAUUGUCACUACCAGUUUAAUUUCAGGGAGAUUAACACUCUUAGUUAUCACCUAAUACAAAGAGUCCAUUCAUGUGCUAUCAAAGCACUGAAUCACUUUCUUAUUUCCUUUCAUCCCUUCUGUUUGAUUCCUACUCUCAAAAAACAAAACCUUGGUUGAGUGCCAAAACGUAAAUUAGGAUCUUCAUUAGAACCAUCAAAUCUAAAUUACUAUUCAAUUAACAGGCCAGUCAACCUCAACUAAUCAACCAAUUAGGCUGUGCGUGUUCACAGAAAAGCUAACAAAAGCUCAUGGGUCCCCUGGGAAAGCAGUAAAACACUGCAGAAGAGUGGCAGUGCGAAUGAGAAGCCACUGGUUCAGCAGAGAAGAAAGAGCACAAAAGUGGAAGCGGGUGACUGUGAGAUGGAGAUCACAUCACUAUUCACCCCUGACACGUUUUAAGAAAUUAGACCUCACAAAAAAAUGAUUAAAGAAAGAAAGGUCAAGAUGCAAAACAAAAAUCAUUUUUAAGAGCUUUAGUCAGUUGGCACUGUAAAGGAGUUUACUGUUUUCAGGUUAAUGAUGUGAUCAAUAUGUCUAUGCUAAUGAUUUUGAUUGAAAGGUACAGUGUUUCUUCCGCUUGAAACCUUACAUUGAGCCUAAACAUCAUCUGGCAGUGUUUAAAUACUGGCCAAAAAAACUAAGCUAAACCUUUCCAAAUAAACUUAACUUAAUUGACAGUAAUCACAUUAAAGCAGGUAAACCAAAAAACACGUUUACGAUGGAACAUCGUUUAUAUGUAUUAUUUAUGUGUAGUAUUUUUCUGCAAUUUGAUGAUGUUUAGUAACUAAGCAUUCUGUGGUGCACACAAAUUUAAAAUGAACCAACCCUUAAAAUUCAACUAGUUGGAGGAGCUGGCACAUGGCACUGGUUAUGGCAAUCAUUUUGGUGAGUGUGGUGGCAGGAUGAAAUGCUUUGCGACGACACCUUCAGUGGAGCUUCUGGGAUGUCGACGUUGAACAUACCUUUGGCAACAGGAGGUCUGAUGGGCAGCAAAGGCUGAUCAAAUGUCUUCGGGGUACACAACAGAAUGCAACCUAAAAGAGAAGCAAACACACACACAUUACACAGAUGUAUGGAGAGAAAACAGCAAAAACAAUACUGGAUUUACGAAAGUUGAUAAAAAUGAUAAAACAUAAAUAUACACAUUUGUUAUUUCAUUUUUACGGAAGAAAAAUGAUCUUGAUUCAUGUUCCUUAAAUGUGUCCUUUCUCAUUGUGACCAAGACUGAGUGGGAUGUCCCCACCCACCCACCCCGUCCAGCACUAAGAUCUAAAGGCCUGUGAUCGGAUGGUGCUCCAGUACAGGCCAAAGGGGUUGUAAAGAGGAGAACACCAUUAUUGUACUAGUAAAUGUCAGAACAACCCCAUCUAAUUGUGCCAUUACUAAUUCAUGCUUAUUAAUGCAGUGAUGUAUGGCUCUCCAGACAAGGCUGGGCCUGUCUGUGCCUGUCAUCUAUGGCUUAUUCUUUGCUGCUGAGGGCUGCGGGGACUGUGUUGGCAACUGUUGGAUGUGGUGGGUGUCGGGCAUAUGCCGCGUGCAGUGACAGUGCCAAGUGGUGUGUGACUUUAAAAUGAAGGCAGAGUAGACUGAUGGUGCUGAUGUCUCCUGCUGGCCCAGUGCCAGGGCCCCAUGUCCCCUGUGCCCCAACCCCUCGCUACCCCAGAGCCCCUGGGCGAGUACCACAGUUAUUGUUUUCACUGGCAAGCAAUUAGUGGCACUUAAGAUUUAUUUAGUCAUGCUCUAAUGUGUUGUAAUUAGCUUGGGGCCUAAACAAGCCCCAUCAUCCCAUCACCUUGUCGCUCGCAUCAGCGCAAUGCAUCAGCAGCAGACAGUAAGGGAAUGUGAGAGAGGAAGCAGGAGGUAGAGAGGAUGGG
ensembl:lncRNA